rnacentral:tRNA from 1 species
CGUCCGCGACAGGACUCGAACCUGCAAUCUUCUGUUCCGAAGUCAGAUGCCUUAUCCAUUAGGCGACAACGAC